rnacentral:rRNA from 1 species
GACGAACGCUGGCGGCGUGCUUAACACAUGCAAGUCGAACGGAAAGGCCCUGCUUUUGUGGGGUGCUCGAGUGGCGAACGGGUGAGUAACACGUGAGUAACCUGCCCUUAACUUUGGGAUAACUUCAGGAAACUGGGGCUAAUACCGGAUAGGAGCUCCUGCUGCAUGGUGGGGGUUGGAAAGUUUCGGCGGUUGGGGAUGGACUCGCGGCUUAUCAGCUUGUUGGUGGGGUAGUGGCUUACCAAGGCUUUGACGGGUAGCCGGCCUGAGAGGGUGACCGGCCACAUUGGGACUGAGAUACGGCCCAGACUCCUACGGGAGGCAGCAAUGGGGAAUAUUGCACAAUGGGCGGAAGCCUGAUGCAGCAACGCCGCGUGCGGGAUGACGGCCUUCGGGUUGUAAACCGCUUUCGCCUGUGACGAAGCGUGAGUGACGGUAAUGGGUAAAGAAGCACCGGCUAACUACGUG